rnacentral:sRNA from 1 species
CACAAGUCGUGGUGACAUGCUUGAAUACAUUAAUAAAGGAAGAGUUACACAUGUCUUGAAGCGUCCACUGUUUUACAACAACUUUGAAAAAUUCCACUUCAUGGAUAUUUCUAGAAAUUGUUCAGAGAGCACAAGCAAUGAUGGGCUUUCCUCCAUUUAUGACGUUGAACGGGAUGGCGUCGGGACCAAAGUGCAUCCGUUGACGCCUGGAACGAAAACAAUACUCAAGCACAGAGACUUUCAAAUAGUUUUCCAUUCCGACUUUGGGUGGAAAUAUCCGUCGUCUAGUUAGAGAAGGGGGUGAUUCGGGGGACUGUAUUUUAAAUGGAUAGAGAAUAUGUCCGGAAUGAAACUAGAGGAGACUGUAAGAAGACCGAGUAAGGACUCGCACAUAUCAGAUCUGGUUUGUUUCGGAAGCGUCAUUAAUGUAGAAAGUGUUGACAUUUUGAGUAUCCUCGCUUUUGCCUCAAGUCACACCAUACCUUUGAUAUAAAAAGGACGGAGGGGAGGACAAAUGUUGUGUAAAAUUUAGGAAUAUUUCUUGGAUUUAGAUGCUUUGAUAUUUUUAGUGCCAAGUAUGCUGCCUUUUCUUUUCUACAUGCGUUUGCUGUUCUUUCGCUAGGGCCUAGUUUUGAAGGUAACAGAAUACCUACGUAUUGUACGUUUUUGCAUACUAUUGAGAUCAUACAAUUUUAUAAUUAUUUUAAAUUGCAAUGGUUUGAUGGAAUGAAAAUGGCGUUAUUUUACUGAUAACGAUGUUUCGUAAAGAAACGUACGGCGGCGUGAAAAAUAAAUAUGUCUUAUUUGUUCGGACGAAUUAGCAUACUGAGUAUGUUCAGAUGAAUUAGAAUUUCUUCGAACGAAUUAGCUAUUAGUUCGAACGGAUAGGUUAUAUUGUUUGGAUGAAUUAGAAUUUAUUCGAACGAAUUAGCUAUUUGUCCGGACGGACAAGUUAUUUGUUUGGACGAAUUAGGAUUUAAUUGUUCAAAAGAAUGAGCUAUUUGUCUUCACUGAUAAGUUAUUUGUUCGGACGAAUUAGGAUGUGUUCGGACGAUCGAGUCAGAAUUCGAUCGAACAAAAAAAUUAUUCAGCCGGAUAAGUUUUUUGUUGGGACGUAGAUUUGUUCGAAAGAGUUAGCAGUUUGUUUGGACGUAUAAGUUAUUUGUUCGAACAAAUUAGGAUUCGUUCGGUUGAAAUUAUUAUUGCAUUGUACUCUUUUCUUUUUAAUUAUAAUUCUACGUUUUACAACUACUUCGAUGAACCUAUUGUACAGUAGGGUUGUCAUAAAGGAAAGCAGACAGAUCGUGAUGUUGAGGUGGUGCAAACCUAUUUGGACAGCAAAUAUUUUGAUUAUAUUUGAGUAAAAUAUCACUUCAAAGGACAAUUUAACUAUUUUCACUAUAGAUAUAGAAAAGCAAUAAAUCAAUUAUGAAUUUAGUCUUACAAAUAACAUGUUUUUAAGUUAAAGUUGGAUUUAAUAGAAAGUUAAAUUAGAGCCCCAAUCCCUGGAAGCUGUUUUAUUUCCAUUAACUCCAUAUAUUAAA